GUUUAAAUGAGGAAGAAGUUAGCACCUGUUACGUUGCUCGUUACUGAGCACCAUUUCUGUGGAAGAUAUCUUGUUUGGAGAACGAGAAAACUAUUCGAUCGUUCCUGCACACUUUAAAUUACAAGGAUGGUUUGUAGCGUCAGCUGACAGCUCAGAGAGAGACCUGCUCCCAGGACGGACUGCAUCUCUGGCACCAGUGCCGUUUCCUCCAUGCUGAAGGACCGGAGACGUGCGGCUCCAGGGUCCCUGACAGUGCUGGAUAAUUGACACAUUUCCACAAGGCUUUGGUGACUCCCAUCUUCUGUCAGUGUCAUGUUAGAUACGGUAAGGAAGCCGCUUUGACUCACGUCUGCCUCGUAUCUCUCAUCCGUCUGUGAGUGUUACAUCAAGCUAAAUGAUUCUACAUCACCGCCUGAAUCACGAGCGUGUGCACAUCGUUCCCUCCGCCUCACCUCACGGCCG